rnacentral:lncRNA from 1 species
CACUGGUCUAUUGAAGUUCCUCAGAAUCCUUCAUGUACAAUUUUUAAUUUAUCAGAAAAAGUGAACAAAUUCAGCCCCUUAAACAAUCCCCCUUCUUUGCAUUUGAUCUCCUGUAAUCACUUGCAGAAAAACUGAUGUUCAAGUCUACAAAAACACGAUUACAAAAAAGCUACCAAGAUCCGAUCAUAUUCUCUCAAGAAAAGCUACUGUAAUGCAAAAGUUAGUUGAACCUUGUCACAGCUGGUCCAAUCUUUUUGUCUCCCUUGUCUAGACCGAUUCCGUCAUG